GGGGUUGUAGCUCAGUGCUAGAGCGCUCACCUUGCAUGUGUGAGACCCUGGGUUCCAUCUUCAGCACCA
rnacentral:tRNA from 1 species